rnacentral:lncRNA from 1 species
UACCCAUGAAGCAAAAGCAUAAGGGUAAUAUUACAUUUUUUUCCAAUUCAUUACUAGUUUGAGGGGAUGUCUUCUUUGAAAGAAUGAUUCCAUGCCUAAAAAGUAUCAUCCCUUUUUUAGAAUUGUUGGGUAUAAAAUAACCCCAGUCGAAGUUCGUAAGAGGUCGACCCUCCCAGGGCUCCCCCGGCUUCUGACCUUAUGCGGCAUCUUUCUGAACCUCUCCGACUGUCCGAGCUUCCAUAAUACCAUCCGGACUCCUCCAGCAGUCGACCUUCCACAGUGUCCUCCAGAUUCCUCC